AUUGGCUAUGCGCUUUGGCAGUGUGGUUAGCUGGUUGUGUAGCUGGUGCUCGUUGGCAAUUAAUUCACAGCCACUAUCUUCACUGCCGCCGCGACAAGCUAGAG
rnacentral:pre_miRNA from 12 species